CGUUCUUAGUUCGUGAAGUGAUUCGUUCGCCCAAUCGCAUUUCCAAACAACUAACAACUCAGAAUGCUGGGCAAUAGGACGUUUAAAGUGGCUCCUUACACCUUACAAAGGAAUGGCUGAUGAGAAACAACUCGAUCCGCUCAGCGUUCUAUUGGAAUGCAACGGACGUGAUUGCAAGCUUUUGUUUUGAGUUGCGGUUUUACUGAAAGACUCUACAAUCCGCAAACUUCAAUGAUCUGAAGUAGAAAACCUACAUGCUACAGUGAGAUAUUGUGGAUAAACUUAAGCGACCGCUCCAACAUUGUGUUUUUUUAAAACUGAUGAAGGUUGCGGCAAUAACAGGUCUGUGAUGCCCUUCGAUGUCCUGGGCUGCACACGUGCUACAAUGGCUAGCGCAGUGAGCAUAUUUCAACCGAAACAUCGGUUGGCUGUUCUGAUUGACCCCUUCUGGGUCUCUCUGUAACACUACCGAUGAUCCCUCCUCUGAAAAGAGAGGGUAAGCCGUUCGAAAUUCUGGUAACGAUUCCCCGUAGUUAAGCAAACUUAAACCAUAGUGGUGUCAAACGGGUCCGCUUCCAUCGGAAAAGAUUCCUCCGGAAAAAGGCUUAUGCAGGCAUUUCACGUAUGCUCCUAUAAAUUCCUGGUAGGGAUAGUCUAUUGUAACUGGUAGACUUGUCAACUAGGAAUGCCUUGUACGGG
rnacentral:rRNA from 1 species